UUCACCAGCGCGGGAGAGCCGCUCGAACAACCGUCGAGCGGCACCGAAGGAGCAAGCUUCCCCGCCAAUCUCUCAGGUCCAGUACCGCGCAGGCGAG
rfam:Leucobacter sp. Ag1 JX03_contig_5, whole genome shotgun sequence.